AGUCGAGCGCGGGAAGCAGGCAGAUCCUCUUCGGAGGUGACGCUUGUGGAACGAGCGGCGGACGGGUGAGUAACACGUGGGCAACCUGCCUGUAAGAUUGGGAUAACCCCGGGAAACCGGGGCUAAUACCGGAUAAUACUUUUCGUUGCAUAACGAGAAGUUGAAAGGCGGCUUUUAGCUGUCACUUACAGAUGGGCCCGCGGCGCAUUAGCUAGUUGGUAAGGUAACGGCUUACCAAGGCGACGAUGCGUAGCCGACCUGAGAGGGUGAUCGGCCACACUGGGACUGAGACACGGCCCAGACUCCUACGGGAGGCAGCAGUAGGGAAUCUUCCGCAAUGGACGAAAGUCUGACGGAGCAACGCCGCGUGAGUGAUGAAGGUUUUCGGAUCGUAAAACUCUGUUGUCAGGGAAGAACAAGUGCCGUUCAAAUAGGGCGGCACCUUGACGGUACCUGACCAGAAAGCCCCGGCUAACUACGUGCCAGCAGCCGCGGUAAUACGUAGGGGGCAAGCGUUGUCCGGAAUUAUUGGGCGUAAAGCGCGCGCAGGCGGUCCUUUAAGUCUGAUGUGAAAGCCCACGGCUUAACCGUGGAGGGCCAUUGGAAACUGGAGGACUUGAGUACAGAAGAGGAGAGUGGAAUUCCACGUGUAGCGGUGAAAUGCGUAGAGAUGUGGAGGAACACCAGUGGCGAAGGCGACUCUCUGGUCUGUAACUGACGCUGAGGUGCGAAAGCGUGGGGAGCGAACAGGAUUAGAUACCCUGGUAGUCCACGCCGUAAACGAUGAGUGCUAGGUGUUAGGGGGUUUCCGCCCCUUAGUGCUGAAGUUAACGCAUUAAGCACUCCGCCUGGGGAGUACGGCCGCAAGGCUGAAACUCAAANGAAUUGACGGGGGCCCGCACAAGCGGUGGAGCAUGUGGUU
rnacentral:rRNA from 1 species